UCGCGCUCCCUAGAUCCAUCUGGAGCCGCCUUCUCGCGCUCCCCAAAUCCGUCUCGAUCCGCCUCGCCCUCGACUCGACCCGCCUCCACCCACCUCCUGCCUCCUCCCUCUCACUCCUCCGCCCGCCCGCACGCGCCCGACCAUCCUCUCCCCCGCGACGAGCGCCAUGCCAAGGAGCGGGCAGGGCAGCCAGGCGGCCGGAGUGCCCGCACAGAAGCACCCGCACUCGUCGCUCAACACGGACGACAGCCACGUCCAGGAGGAGGAGGUUGCCGUUGUCGCCGGGGCUGCCGGCUCUGGCACAGAGGGUGGUGGCGCAGGCGUCCAGAGGGCGGCCAAUGCGGGCUCUGUUGAGCUGGCCAAGGACGGUGCCGGUGAGAGCACUGCUUCCAGCGACGCGUGCCGCUGACUCAUCUCCCACCACGGGAUGUCCACCAGUUCAGCGUGGAUCCAUUCACCAAGAAGAAGUGGUAUGACAAAUUAAUCCAGUACUGUUGAAUCAAGAAGAAGUGGCCUUACUGUUAUGUUUAUUUGUCCUAUGAAUUUGGAUGCUUGGUACUCCAUUUUACUACUGCUCUGUUCUGUGAUCUCCCACUAAUCUUCUUCGUGAUUGUGUAUGGAAACCUGAUGUUGAUCUUUACAAGAUCUUCAGUAGAUGUUGAUCUCUUCUCUGUAGUUGCCUACCUAGCUAGCUCAAUCUGCAUUCAGGUGUUUUCAUGCAUUGCAGGAGCUUUUUUCUUAAUGGUUAUGCAUGUUUAGCUAGUUCUUGCAGCGAGGCAUAUUUGUGAUGCUAGUUUAGAUCGACGUCCAUUGCAGGAGCUUGGUGCUUGCUCAAUUACCAUGGUGUCCACGCGUACGCAUGCACGGUUUACCAACUACUUCUCUCAGGCGCAGCUGGAUUUCUGCUGUGCUUCCCCUCCAUUUCAAACUAGCCUCGCCUCGUUGCUAGCUGACGUUUUUAUGCUUCAGAUCGCUUCCUCCAUGACACCCCGGUCCGGGCGGCGCCAGCAGCGAUGGCGAUCGACAAUCAAGUGUGCCUAACUCUGCAUCUAUAACUGGCCUGUCUUCUUGGGACGGUGCUCUACUACGCGCUACUCUGGGCGGGUCACCUGGACAGAUGUUCUGGAACCAUCGUGGUCUGCAUCACUACUGGGGCGUGUGUAUCCGUGGUCAGCACACCAAGACUACCGGCAAGAGAGGGAAGAUUGUUGGUGUCUCCAAGAAGCGAUAAACUGCUUCACAAAGAUCCCCGCAUAGCUUCACUACUACUGUGUUGGUCCAUUUCCAGAAUCUUAAGGAGUGUUCUUGUUUAGACGAUUACCUUGGAUGAUGCUUUUGCUUGCGGAGAGGCUCAAGAAGAUCAGGGAGCUUUGCAUUCGAGUUUCAGCCAUCCUCUACAGCAAGGAGCUCUCAGCCAAAGGAGCAAGCAGCGCUGCUAGUUCCUUGAGGCCAGAUCGAGUA